rnacentral:rRNA from 1 species
UACGUAGGUGGCAAGCGUUGUCCGGAUUUAUUGGGUUUAAAGGGUGCGUAGGCGGCCCUGUAAGUCAGUGCUGAAAUAUCCCGGCUUAACCGGGAGGGUGGCAUUGAUACUGCGGGGCUAGAGUACAGAUGAGGUAGGCGGAAUUGACGGUGUAGCGGUGAAAUGCUUAGAUAUCGUAAGGAAGACCAGUGGCGAAGGCGGGUCUCUGGACAGUUCCUGACGCUGAGGCGCGAAAGCUAGGGGAGCGAACGGG